AGCGAACGUUAGCGGCGGGCCUAACACAUGCAAGUCGAACGAGAAUGAGGGGGCAACUCCUCUAGUAAAGUGGCGGACGGGUGCGUAACACGUGGGUAAUCUACCUUCCCGGCGGGGGACAACAGCCCGAAAGGAUUGCUAAUACCGCAUACGUCGGCGAGGUCUCCGGACCUCGCCGGGAAAGAUGGCCUCUCCUUGGAAGCUGUCACCGGAAGAUGAACCCGGGGCCCAUCAGCUUGUUGGCGAGGUAACGGCUCACCAAGGCUAAGACGGGUAGCUGGUCUGAGAGGAUGAUCAGCCACACUGGGACUGCGACACGGCCCAGACUCCUACGGGAGGCAGCAGUGGGGAAUAUUGGGCAAUGGGCGAAAGCCUGACCCAGCCACGCCGCGUGAGUGAUGAAGGCCUUCGGGUCGUAAAGCUCUGUGGGGAGGGACGAACAAGCCGGCACUAAACAAGCGCUGGACCUGACGGUACCUCCUUAGCAAGCACCGGCUAACCAUGUGCCAGCCGCCGCGGUAAAAC
rnacentral:rRNA from 1 species